GCUAUGAUCUGACAUUGAGACCAACUACAACCAGGUAAUAAAACUAUGAUCUGACUGUGAGACCCACUACAACCAGGUAAUAAAACUAUGAUCUGACUGUGAGACCCACUACAACCAUAUAAUAAAGCUAUGAUCUGACAUUGAGACCUACUACAACCAGAUAAAGCUAUGAUCUGACUGUGAGACCAAGUAAUAAAACUAUGAUCUGACUGAGAGACCCACUACAACCAGGUAAUAAAACUAUGAUCUGACUGAGAGACCCACUACAACCAGGUAAUAAAGCUAUGAUCUGACUGUGAGAACCACUACAACCAGGUAAUAAAACUAUGAUCUGACUGUGAGACCCACUACAACCAGGUAAUAAAACUAUGAUCUGACUGUGAGACCCACUACAACCAGGUAAUAAAACUAUGAUCUGACUGUGAGACCCACUACAACCAGGUAAUAAAGCUAUGAUCUGACUGUGAGACCCACUACAACCAGUUAAUAAAACUAUGAUCUGACUGUGAGACCCACUACAACCAGGUAAUAAAACUAUGAUCUGACCGUGAGACCCACUACAACCAGGUAAUAAAACUAUGAUCUGACUGUGAGACCAGGUAAUACAACUAUGAUCUGACUGUGAGACCCACUACAACCAGUUAAUAAAACUAUGAUCUGACUGUGAGACCCACUACAACCAGGUAAUAAAACUAUGAUCUGACUGUGAGACCAGGUAAUACAACUAUGAUCUGACUGUGAGACCCACUACAACCAGGUAAUAAAACUAUGAUCUGACUGAGAGACCCACUACAACCAGGUAAUAAAACUAUGAUCUGACUGUGAGACCCACUACAACCAGGUAAUAAAGCUAUGAUCUGACUGCGAGACCCACUACAACCAGGUAAUAAAACUAUGAUCUGACUGUGAGACCCACUACAACCAG